GGUUAAACAAAAGAUACAAAUAAAUUUUAUAAAUUAUAAGUUAAAUUGAAUUUAUUUAAUUUUUAAAAAAAUUUUAGGUGAAAUUUUAUUUUUUUUAAAAAUUAAUAAGUUAAUUAUUAUUGAAUCUUUUAAAUUUUAUUAAUAAACUAGGAUUAGAUACCCUAUUAUUUAAUUAUGUAAAAAAUUAAAUUAGAGUAGUAGUAGUUAUGAUCUUGAAACUCAAAAAAUUUGGCGGUAUUUUAGUCUAUUCAGAGGAACCUGUAAUAUAAUCGAUAUUCCACGAUGAACCUUACUUAAUUUUGUAAUUUAAUUUGUAUAUCGCCGUUAUUUGAAAAUUUUAUAAGAAAAAUAAUUUUCUAAAAUUUUUAUUAAAAAAUAAAUCAGGUCAAGGUGCAGUUUAUGGUUAAGUUUUAUUUUGGCUUACAAUAAAUAUUAUUUAAACGGAAUAAAUAAUGCAAUUAUUUUUAGGAAGGKGGAUUUGAUAGUAAAUUUGUAAAGAUAAAAAAAUUGAUUUUAGCUCUAAAAUAUGCACACAUCGCCCGUC
rnacentral:rRNA from 1 species